CCUACGGGUGGCAGCAGUGGGGAAUAUUGCACAAUGGGCGAAAGCCUGAUGCAGCAACGCCGCGUGAGCGAUGAAGGCCUUCGGGUCGUAAAGCUCUGUCCUCACGGAAGAUUAUGACGGUACUUGACGAGUAAGCCCCGGCUAACUACGUGCCAGCAGCCGCGGUAAUACGUAGGGUGCUAGCGUUAUCCGGAAUUACUGGGCGUAAAGGGUGCUUAGGUGGUUUCUUAAGUCAGAGGUGAAAGGCUACGGAUAAAACGAAGUACGCCUUUGAAACUGGGAAACUUGAGUGCAGGAGAGGAGAGUGGAAUUCCUGGUGUAGCGGUGAAAUGCGUAGAUAUUAAGAGGAACACCAGUUGCGAAGGCGGCUCUCUGGACUGUAACUGACACUGAGGCACGAAAGCGUGGGGAGCAAACAGGAUUAGAUACCCGAGUAGUC
rnacentral:rRNA from 1 species